rnacentral:lncRNA from 1 species
UCAAUUAAGGCCUUAGCCCAUUACAAUACAGAAGCAGUCAUGCAUUUGGGCAUUGGCCCAUUACAGUAUCAAUACUCAGUACAGUAAUAGAUAUGCAGUAUCAAAUCCUACCCAGCCAGCCUCUACACUCCAACUCCGUCCAACCCUACACUCCAUGUGGAGAUAUAAUCAACCCACCUAUCCCUACACUCCAAGUAGCACCGAAUACGGCAUUAGAAAGUAAUUUAAGCUGC